GAUAUAACAAUUUCCAGCGAACUCCCACCAGCCUCCUCAAGCGCUGAGUAACAUGCAUCCACCAUGGAAUCAAAGAGAUUUCGGUACCCAAGCUGCCCAUCUUGCACCGUAACCUCAUUAGGCGCCGUAAAAAGAGCAUAGUCUAGGCUGACGUCUUGGGUGUUAGCACUGUAACUGAGGUAAGGGUAGAGGUUAACUAGUAGUGGGGCACGGUUUUCCACUAAGAGACUGAUGAUGGGAUCAAGAAAUGUACGGGCUUGAGUCUGGAAGGAGCCUUGUGAUGGAGGGUAGGAAUUCCCUAAAACUCCAAGCUGAGUGGCAGUGGAAACCUUGAUUUGAUUGUCUAGGCCAGCUGCGGAGAUUGCAUUGGUGAUAGAUUUCAUCGCAGGGAGAAGAAACUGGGCAACGUAGUCUGAAAGACUCACUUCAUUGCCAACUGCAAUGUAUCGAAAUUUGACCUUAGUAUAGUUCGUCACAUAUUUUUCGACCCAUGAAUUUGCAUUGCCUUGGUCGGCAAUAUCAGAAAGGGCAUUGUUUGGGACGCCCAGCAUGAGCUCAAUGUUGGAGCCUUCAAGGGCCUGCAGAGCAGCUAUGUUUGGUUCGUAAAGUCUCAUUCUUUGGAAGUUGUUCUGGGUGUAGAGCUCUACAACCUCUUCCGGUGGUGGCAGGUUGUCGCCAAGCGUUCCAUAACACACUCCUAUUUGGGCUUCUGCUGAGAUUGAACAAAAACCAUGGAAUUAAAAACCAACCAAUCUUGUAGGGAAAAGGGCAAAUAAUUAGUGAACCACUCGUGUAUGGGCCGGGAUUAAAUAUAAAAAAGUAAGCUAGUAGUAAGUUGAUAAGGGACGACCCUAAUUAAUCAAGGCCAGUACAGAGCAUAUAUAGAAUCUCACAUGGGAGAAAACAGAUUUCUCAAAAGUAAUGAGAUACCAAUCUUUAUUAGACCAAGGCAUAUUGGAUUGAAGUCUUAAAACCCCACUGGCAAGAUGCAAGGGAAGAGAGACAAACCUGUUAGGUGUAGGUUGGUCAUCAGCAGCCCAAGGAGUAGCAGAACUAUGGUCGUUCUUGGAGAGGUUUUAACAUAGGAAUUGACAGCCAUGGAAAAGAAAGGGAAGAAUAAAAGGGUAAGUUAUAUAUGUCUCUAGCACUAAAAUUUAGUUCCCUUUUAUAGAGUGGAUCAAGUCUUGCAGCUGGAAUUUAAGUAAUGAUAGAUCCAUUCCCACAACCGGCUUGAGCCCUCAUCAUUGAAUGCGAUUCUGUCUGUUGCUUGAGAUUAAUUUCUCCCCCUUUUGAGAAGUCUUGGAUCUUUCUACACCUCUUUUGGAGGCAAAUUUCUGAAACAAUCACUGUUAUUGUAGUUGCCUCUCUCAGCUGGUAGUGUCUGAACUUAGUUCAAAACACUCCCAUGAAAUUCAAAACAUCAAAACACUGGCAUAUAAAAAAAGAUAAAGAAAAAAAUAUAGAGAGAAAAGAAAACAGAGAUUUUGCACUUGAAGAACAUCCAUAGAUGUGCGGAAAACUUAAAAAAGAGGGCAGGCGACGAACUUGACCCAAAGUGCCAAACAUAGGUCAUGGAAUAUCUUUGUGGAAAUUACUAUAUGUUCUCCAACAUCCCAUGUGAAUUCAGGGAUGCAUUUUGCUUAUCCUUCACGGAUCUCUCUUCCUGGACGCCGGAUCGUGGCCCAUUAUCAAUGGUACGGGGAAGAUCGUUGAAUUUUGAAGUCGGUGGUAUCAUAGAUGACAAACAUCUCCUGACUCUUUUAGUCAAGUCUUCCAGUAACUGAUCUUAUCCUGUUAGGCUCCGGUAAGCUCCCGUUAGACCCUCAUGACUUUGACUAGGCAACAACCCCAAUUCACGGAACGACAAGCACAAUUCCUCAAAGGAAAAAUAAAAAAGAAAAAAACCACCCAAAUUGGUGACUAUUUAUUUGUUUUAAGUUUGUUUUUCUUCUCUUAUUAGUCCAUUUUUCUCUAGAUUGAGCUGGACCAAACCAACCCCCAAGUUGGACCAUCUCAGCUGGCCAGCAUAGCUAUUGAUUCAUCCCCCAACUUGGUUCGAUGCCAAGGCCCAAAAUUUGACCCAAGCAAUGGCCUAGCUGGUGGGCCUCCACUUUCCAUCAUGGGCCAUAGGUGUACUUUCUUAUCAUAAUCUUGUCUGAUGGGUAAGCGACAACUUGAAAUCUAUAGACUUUUCAACAUUAGCGCCAUAGGCCCAUAGCCCAGAUGCAAAUGAGACAAUUCAAGGAUUAACAUAGGUUAUGGAAUAUCUUUGGGGGUUGUUCCGGGACUUUUCUCAAUAGUACAGUAAUUUAAAAAAGUUAUGCUUAAAUUAUUGUAAUAGAAGAAGUUAUUACAAAUAUAUGGUAGUUUUUGUCACAUAGGAGAGAGGAGAGAGGAGAGAGGGUGAGAGAGAGGAGAUAGGAGAGAGGAGAGAGGGUGAACGGAUAAAUUUUUUUAAAAAAAGGAACUCGUCUCUUCUCUAAGAGACGAGUUCCAUGAAAAAAGACAAGGGAAAGACGAGUUCCCAAGGAAAAAAAAUAUAUUUUUUUUAAAUAUAUUUUUUAUUUAAAAAAAAUCCUAAAUUAAAUUAAAAAAAAAAUUCCUAAAGGGAACUCAUCUCUUUGGGAAUUUUUUUUUUUAAAUAUAUUUUUUAUUUUAAAAAAAAUCCCAAAUAAAAAAAAAACUCCUAAAGGGAACUCGUCUCUUCAAGAGACGAGUUCCCAUGUAAAAAAAAAUAUUUUUUUUUAAAAAUAUAUAUAUUUAAAAAAAAAAAUUUCCUAAAGGGAAUUCGUCUCUUGAAGAGACGAGUUCCAUGGAAAAAAAAAUAUUUUUUUUUAAAAUAUAUUUUUUGUUUAAAAAAAAAUCCAAAAAAAAAAAAUUUCCUAAAGGGAACUCGUCUCUUGAAGAGACGAGUUCCCAUAGGAAAUUUUUUUUUUUUAAAUAUAUUUUUUAUUUAAAAAAAAUCCUAAAUUAAAUUAAAAAAAAAAAAUUCCUAAAGGGAACUCAUCUCUUUGGGAAUUUUUUUUUUUAAAAUAUAUUUUGAAGAGACGAGUUCCCAUGUAAAAAAAAAUAUUUUUUUUUUAAAAAUAUAUAUAUUUAAAAAAAAAAAUUCCAAAGGGAACUCGUCUCUUGAAGAGACGAGUUCCAUGGAAAAAAAAUAUUUUUUUUUUAAAAUAUAUUUUUUGUUUAAAAAAAAAAUCCAAAAAAAAAAAAAAAAAUCGAAGAGACAAGUUCCUAUGGGAAAAAAAAUAUAUUUUUUUAAAAUAUAUUUUUUAUUUAAAAAAAUCCCAAAUUAAAAUUAAAAAUAUAUAUAUAUAUAUAUAUAUAUUUUUUAAUAUAUAUAUAUAUAUAUAUUUUUUAAUAUAUAUAUAUUUUUUUUAAUAUAUAUUUUUUUUUAUAAAAAAUAUAUUUUUUUCAUGGGAACUCGUCUCUUCAAGAGACGAGUUCCCUUUGGAAUUUUUUUAAAUAAAAAAUAUAUUUAAAAAAAAUAUAUAUUUUUUCCCAAGGGAACUCAUCUCUUCAAGAGACGAGUUCCCUUUAAGAAUUUUGAGGAAUUGUUUUUUUUUUUAAUAUAUAUAUUUAAUAUAUAUAUAUAUAUAUAUUUUUUUUACAUGGGAACUCGUCUCUUCCGUCUCUUGAAGAGACGAGUUCCCUUUGGAAUUGUUUUUUUUUUUUUUUUUUUUAAUUUGGGAUUUUUUUAAAAUAAAAAAUAUAUUUAAAAAAAAAUAUUUUUUUUCCCAUGGGAACUCGUCUCUUAAGUUCCCUUUAGUAUAUGAGAACUCGUAUUUUCAAGAGACGAGUUCCCUUUAGGAAUUUUGAGGAAUUGUUUUUUUUUUUUUUUUUAAUAUAUAUAUUUAAAACAAAAAAACAAAAUUUUACAUGGGAACUCGUCUCUUCAAGAGACGAGUUCCCUUUGGAAUUGUCUUUUUUUUUUUUUAAUUAAUUCGGGAUUUUUUUUAAAUAAAAAAAUAUAUUUAAAAAAAAAAAAAUUUCCCAUGGGAACUCGUCUCUUGAGUUCCCUUUAGGAAUUUUUUAUUUAUUUUAAAUAUAUAUAUUUUAAAAAAAAAAAAUUUUUACAUGGGAACUCGUCUCUUCAAGAGACGAGUUCCCUUUGGAAUUGUUUUUUUUUUAUUUUUUUUUAUUUGGGAAUUUUUUAAAAAAAAAUAUAAUUUUUUUUCCCAUGGAAACUCGUCUCUUAAGUUCCCUUUAGGAAUUUUUUUACAUGGGAACUCGUCUCUUCAAGAGACGAGUUCCCUUUGGAAUUGUUUUUUAUUUUUUAUUUUAUUUUUUUAAUUUUGGAUUUUUUUUAAAUAAAAAAUAUAUUUUAAAUUUUUUUUUUUUCCCAUGGGAACUCAUCUCUUGAAGAGACGAGUUUCCUUGAAGAAUUGUCUUUUUUUUUUUUUAAUUUGAUAAUUUUUUAAAAAAUAUAUAUAUAUUUUUUUUCAUGGAACUCGUUUCUUCAAGAGACGAGUUCCCUUUUUUAAAAAAAUUUAUCCAUUCACCCUCUCUCCUCUCUCCUCUCUCUUAUCUCCUCUCUCCUCUCUCUCACCCUCUCUCCUCUCUCCUCUCUCCUAUGUGGCAAAAACUACCAUAUAUUUGUAAUAUCUUCUUCUACUACAAUAAUUUAAGCAUAACUUUUUUAAAUUACUGUACUAUUGAGAAAAGUCCGGUUGUUCUAUGUGUUGUGUGUUUGCCCAAGUUCUGCAAUUUUCUAUCAUGUCUCAGGAGUUGUUGAGCUUCAGUUUUUUACUUUGUUAGUGGAGGUACCAAGCAUAGAAGACGGCCAACCCAUGGGUCUACCUACUUGCUCGAGUCGGAUAGCGGAUUUCACUACAAAAGCUACCUCCCGGAGGGUGCCGAUUUUUUCCGAGAAGGGGUACCCGGAUGUUGUAUCGACUGAAUUUUGUCUCCUGGUUGAGAAGUCCUCCCAGCUCCAUUUAAACCUACAAUGAUUCGAGAACCCACCCGACCAAUCCUAGAAGAACUAAAAAAUUGAUCAUCGGGAAGAAGCUGUCAUACCGCUAACACAGAUCACGUGGCAUGGAUAUCGAGGGCAACGACAAGGCAUGUAUGAGGAACAAAUCUCAAAGGAAAAUAUUAUCUUCACAUUAGCAGGAAAUGUCAAGGUUGAUUGGCCAUGGGCCACCUGACACAGAUCUGCCAAGCCAACCGUGCACGCCACACAACCUUCAAUCUAACUCAAGCCUAUAAAAGAGGAAGAAGAAUAGGAGAAAAGGGGGAUCCUUCUCCUAGAGAGUCGAGAUACCCACCAACAGAGUAAGUGACACUGGAAAAUUGGCUACAGCCUUGAUAGUCGUUGGAUCAUCAUAUCUAUAAAGGUUAUACACCAACAGUUAGGUUAUGUAAAUCCAUAAACCAACAGUCAUUGUAGAGAAAAGAACCACCACCGCUGAGAACUCCAAAGAUUUGCAAUGAUACCAUUUUGUAGAUAGAGUGACAGAGGUAUAAAAAGAAAUUGAUUCAUUAUCUGUGGCAUCUACCCAUACUGUGAUUCCGAAUCAACAUACCUAAUUUCCGAGAUAUGGCAACUCUUGAGUAAACUAAUAAUAAAAUAAGAACUGUGCCAUGUAACUUCAUUCACAAAUGAAACUUUCUUUGCGUCACUAUGAAACAAAAUUAGAAAAUCAUUUCUAUUUUGAUUAUUUCUUUUUUAAUUGUAUCCCAAAAAGACAUUUUUUAUACAUGACACAAUACAUAAAUAACUUUGAUUUUGUCUAAAAAAAAAUUGUUGAAUUUCUUACCUAUCAACGAAACAUUGAUUAAGAAAAAAAAUAUAUAUAUCAUAAGUUUCAAUACUGGUAGACUAAGAAGACCGCUGAAAGUCCAUGCCCCCGACCAACCAACUUAAGUACCACUGAAAUUGGGUGAAGUCAAGUGACGGUCCCUAAAUACAUUAAGAUUUUAAUCCUAAAAUAUAAGGUGCUUUUAAAUCUAGUACAGAUUCCUCACCACGACUUAUCUUAUUAAACAUAUAAGGCGCUCUUAAAUGAGUGCAUGAAGUUCUACAUGACACUUUUUCUCAGGGCUCAAGACCCCUUAUUUGGGAUAAGACAUCACUAUACCCUUCCUACAUUAAUUUGGAGAAAACUCAAUCUGGUAUACAGACUGUCUAUUUGGAUAAAAGAUGCCCCAAUGUUUCUCCAAUUCUGGGUUUUUGUUGUUCUCAUUGAACAUGGCGAAUAUGUAAGUUUGUAUAGGUUUUCCAGGCCUCUUGGGAGUUCCUCCCUUCACAUGUCGAAGCAAAUUUGUGUUAUAAGUCCUAGCAUUCUCAAUUGUUGUAGCCGUCCCACCAGCCGUAGGCCAACCAGUCUCAGUCACAACAAUUUCCAAAGAACCACCACCAGCCUUCUCCAGAGCUGAGUAACCAGCAUCCAAUAUCGCAUCAAAUAUGUUUUGGUACCCAAACUGACCAUCUCGCACCACUAUUCCAGGAGAUGUGAAAAGAGUAUAUUCAAGGCUGAUGUAUUGGGUGUUGCCAAUGUAACUAAAAUAAGGAUACAUGUUCAAGAAAAACGGGGCACCAGUGUCCGCUAGGAAGCUGAUGAUUGGAUUGAUAAAUGAUCCGAAAUCGGGUCUGAAAGAUCCUUUAGAUGGAGGGUAGGAUUCUCCAAGCUGCACUGAAGGCGGUUGAGACUUUGAUCUGGUUGCCAAGUCCAGACUCUGAAAUUGCCUGGUGAAUGUUUUUCAUGGCCCCCAGGAGAUAAUUUGCUUCCCAGGCCGGAGGAUUUAUUUCGUUUCCAACAGCUAUGUAUCGAAAAUUGACAGUGGGAUAGUUUCUAAUGUUGUUUUGGACCCAGGCAUAUGCGGUGCCCAUGUUAGUAGCAAGGUUGUAAAGGUCUUCAUUUGCCACACCCACCAUGAGCUCAAUAUUGGAGCCUCCGAGGGCUUGGAGGACUUCUGGGACGGGAGCGUAAAUCCGCAUUCUUGGGAUGUUGUUGUGUUUAUAGAGAUCUAUAACUUCGUGGGGUGGUGGUAAGUUGUUCCCCAGUAGUCCGUAGCAAACUCCAGUGUUGGCACCUUCAUAGUAAUUUAAGACAAAUGAGACAGCAGCAUUAUCUUGAGAAUGUAGUGAUAUAAAUUCCGGACUUCCAGUAAGUUAAUCAAAAUUGGUAGUAAUAGAAAUUAGAAAUUGAUGAAUACCCCAUCAUUCAAGAAGAAAAACAGAGAGAACCUGUUAUUUGGAAGGUGGCAAGCAGAAGGCCAAAUAGUAGCAUUGCAACAACCAUGGAGUCGAAGGAAUGUAACAAUGCAGUAGCCAUUGAGCAAGAAAAAGCAAGAAAAUUGAGGUUAAGUGGGGUGCAGAUACUCCAAUUUCAUCUCUCAUUUUAUAGGCACAUAAAGGGGUCUUCAACUGGAGUUGUUUAGCCAUUACGUUUACAGAUUUGCUAAUUGCUUGGCCCUCCUGCCCUUCCUGUCGGGUCAACCACUCCAUAGAAAUCAACGCAUUUAUCCACAAAUAACCACCCAUCAUUGCAACCGCUUCCCUCGUCUUAUUUUCUCGCCUCCACCAUCCUACCCUGGAAGAGUUCUGGGUAUUGUCAUUCCAAGUGGCUUUCACUUUCACACCCUAUAAGGAAAAUAGCAUGUUGAAUCUGUCCUGAUCAGAAGUCUAACUUAACAAGGUAUGUUUGUGUAGUUCAUUUUAUUUGAUAAUUGUGGGUAUCUCUAAUCUUAUCUUCACCGAGGUUUGAACAUAGAACAAAAUGACAUUGGCAAUUUGGCAUGGUGUAAUGGUGUUUAUGAAGUCAACAGUUAAAAUGACAGCGGCCUCAUCUCUUCAGUAGUGGCAACCCAACAGCUUCCAAUAAUGGAAGUCUCGCAUGGAGUAAUGGUGUUUAUGAAGUCAUCAACUAGAAUGACAGUGGCCUCAACUCUUCAGUAGCGGGAACCCAACAGCUUCCAAUAAUGGAGAGAUGGAAUUACUGCUUUCAGCUACUAAUAGGAAUACAAUAUUGUGUAUUAGUGUAACUUGGACGGGCAAACUUGAUCCAACCCAAACCCACCCUGCUUAGACAAUCAUUUUUAAUACUCAAGUUGGAUUAGGGUUAGGUUUUUUUCAACCCAAGUUCAAUUUGGAUUGGGCUCGGGUUAAGGUUCAAAUAACCUAAUCCUAAUCUGAAUUCGAUUUAAUGUUUUUAUAAUAUUUAUAACGCAUCUUAUUUUAUAUAAUAAUAUUUAUCUUCUUUUUAUAUAUUAAGAAAAAAAUAUUAAAUUAUAUUAUAUCAUAUGUUUUUCAUUAUUUUUAAAAAUUAUAUGAAUUUACGUUUAUUCUUUUUGUUAUUAAAUUGAAAUUUUAUCCUAUUUUGAAUUAUACAAGAGUCUAAUUUUGAUCCAUAUGACUCUAACUUAAACAACUUGAAAUUAACCUCAACUUAGAAAAAUGAGGUUGAGUUGGACUUGAGUAUUUUAAGUUUGAAUUCGGGUUAAUCAUUCCCUAAUUUGGAUUAGGCUUGGAUUAGUCAUUAACUCUAUACCAAUUUCAUGUUCACUCCACAACUUUAAUUCCUUCUCAUCUUUGCUUCUCUAAAUGAAAAAACAAUGUCACAUGUAAUAGAAUGAGUAACAGACAAAACUUCUCAUUUUAGCGAUAUUUAUAUUUCUUGUUAUUUUUUGGUAUGGAAGACAUUAAAUAGUAUUUGCUUAAUUACUGAGAAAAUUGAGGGGCAUAAAGAGAAUAUAUAUAUAUAAGUUUAUUUCAUAAUUUUUAGUAUGGAAAUGAAAGAGAGAAAUUCAAAUAUAUAAAAGAUGAAUUGAAAAGAAAUGAGAAUUUUUGGUCCCAUUUCCACGAAUUUACAGAAAAGAAGCUUAAAAAAUUGAAAUAAUCAACACCAGCUACGGUUUGAAAAUGGAAGUUUCUCGGGAAAAUGGUCCUAGAAAUUUUUUGGACUAAAUCUAACAUAAUGAUAAGCUGAAAAAAAUGAGAUACCAAUUCUGAUAUUAUGUUACUCAAUUGAAUAAAUAAUUUGAUUGGUACUGGGGACCCUACAAACUAAUGGCUACUUUGGCUGUUUGUUUGGGAGAAAUAGCCCCCAAUGUCUCUCCAAUUCUGGGGUUUGGCUGUUCUCGUCAAACAUGGCAAACACAUAAGUUUCUAUGGCCUUUCCAGGCCUCUUGGGAGUCCCUCCCUUCACAUGCUGAAUCAAAUUGGUAUUAUAAAUCCUUGCAUUAUCCAGAGUCGCUCCUGUGCCACCAGCUGAAGGCCAGCCACUUUCCGAUAUAACAAUUUCCAGCGAACUCCCACCAGCCUCCUCAAGCGCUGAGUAAAAUGCAUCCACCAUGGAAUCAAAGAGAUUUCGGUACCCAAGCUGCCCAUCUUGCACCGUAACCUCAUUAGCCGUAAAAAGAGCAUAGUCUAGGCUGACGUCUUGGGUGUUAGCACUGUAACUGAAGUAAGGGUAGAGGCUAACUAGUAGUGGGGCACGGUUUUCCACUAAGAGACUGAUGAUGGGAUCAAGAAAUGUACGGGCUUGAGUCUGGAAGGAGCCUUGUGAUGGAGGG
rnacentral:lncRNA from 1 species